GGAGGGGUGGCAGAGUGGUCUAAUGCACCGCACUUGAAAUGCGGCGUGGGGCAACCCACCGUGAGUUCGAAUCUCACCCCCUCCGCCU
rnacentral:tRNA from 1 species